UCUUCUCAACAAACGACUCCGACUCCUAGGAGACAUGCGCAGUCUCGACUCUUGGAGUUAGAACACCACGUUGCAAUAAAUGGGCGCAUUCCGAUGAUGAUCGCCCCUGAAGCGGAGAAGCCUAUUUCUCUACACGCCGUUCGCUUCAGCCAGGCGAUAGGCGUGUGCGAAAGACAUUUCCCGUCCGCUGUCUUAAGUGAGCAGACGUUGGGAGAGAAUACAUUGAGGUCGUCAAGGGCGACCGCCAGCGAUUGUUUGUGCUUGAUUUCAAUGAUCAAGCAAUGAACAGGUUUGUUGAGCAUCAGAUGCUCACGACCUUUAAAGAGUUCCGGGCCGACUAUCAUAGACAUUUCAAAAAGUACAUCGACCUGGAGAAGGCUCGUGCCAACCCACCAAACGCAUUGGUUAGAAGUGAUGAGGAUUGACACUUCCUCUGCGACCAUUAUAUCAGCUGUGCAUUUCAGCAAUCACGGACGAACAAGGCUGCUAAACAGAAGCAACCUUACAAUCAUAGUAGCGGGUCCAAGUCGUUUCUACAACGACAGUAUGAGCUCGCUGAAAGAAAAGGGGAGUCGGUCGAUCGUGUGGAAUUGUUUUGGGAAACACAUGUUCGAGCUGGGACAUUCGUGUCGUAGGCCACCGAGGAUGCGUAUCCUACCCCAAAGGGUAGUCAGCCACUCUCUGGGGAUGAGAUAUGCGAUCAGGUGUUGGGUAGACGACCAGGCUACUCAAGAGGCCUUGGUUGGGGACCCAAGCCGAAGGCUCGCAGAACGGCGAGUGCAAGCAGUUCGUCGACAUCUUAUUCGCAGUCCACAGAAAAAGAGAUUGAAUUACAAGUUAAACUUCAUGAAGCUUUGGAACGGAUUGAAGUACAAGAUAGAAAUCACCAAGCAUUAGCUUCACAAAUGGAAACUAUGAAAAGAUGAUAGAAGAACUAACUCGUGUACAACAGGGACCACCACAUGAUCCCUAGCUCUGCGGACCGAAGGUGUAAAAUAACGCGCAUACGCACCUCGUUGGGAGACUUUUUCUUAAUGUUUAUGUUUUUUCUAUUCUGAGAACUAUAUUUUGUUGUAGUGAACUUAUUCGUAUUAUUAAUUUUAAUUCUAUUUUUUUAAUUUGUGUUUGUAUAUUUCUUAAUUUAUUUUAAUUUAUAUUUAAUUUUUUUUAA